CAUAAUUCCGUAAAAUAACUGCCGGAUCCGUCUAAAGUACAUGAUAAGAAAUUUGGAGGGAGAUGUCGGACGUACCUUUACCCACAGCCUACAUCUAAACUUUCCCAUGCGCAGGAGAAAUCGAGAAGCAACUAUUGAAGAUUCGCCCAAGCAUAUUCUUCUGUGAUGAGGAAUGUGCUGAAAAAGUGAGCGCCGCAAGGAGGAACCUUAGGACAGCAACGGCUUUCGUCGUAUUUGGUGAGUACAAGAAGAUGGUGCAGUUUGCUACGUUCAAGAACACCUCCUGCGACCAGUUUCAGCAUCCUGAGCCAGUGGAUCCAAACGAAACUCUGUUCACAUUCUACACCAGUGGCACCACUGGGCAACCAAAGGCGGCUCUGCUCACUCACAGGAACUACGUCGCCCAAGUGUUCGGAUUAACAUCGAGCAGGAGCCUAUUCACGGAAGCUCAAGACUACAUAGGGCUCAUGCCCUUCGCACAUCCAUUUGGUCUUUGCAUAUUGUGUGCGAAACUCGCUUUGGGUCACAAGACGGUGACGUUGAGCUCUCUGCGUAUCGAACGCUUCUUCGCAGCAGUGCAGUCA